rnacentral:lncRNA from 1 species
GCACAUCGUAGGAAGCUACAAUUAGAAUGUGCCCAUCUGACACUCUGAGGACUGUUCCCUGAGAAGGGAGGAAAUGGGAGCAUGAACAGAAAACACCAGAGAAGAACCCUGCACAGACCAGUGACAGACCUGUCUCCAACCGUGUAACUCAACAACUCAACCCUCUGCAUGUAAAGUCCACUCAACAAAAACAAAACCAAGGAUCUCCAGCAAUCAGGUGGCUGCUUUUACAUUUGCUGCCUAAAGUACACAUUUCAAAAUAUGUUAAAUUUCACACUGUUUCAUGCAAUAUUGGAGCCUGCAAAUUCACUAAUUUGGGAUUCCUCUCAGAACCUCUUUGCUUUCAUAGACUCUGCCAUACAAGACUGGAACAGAAGUAUUUAUUGGUGUUUUUACUUAAGAACCUGUCUAACUAGCUAACUACCACUUGCUUAAAGAAUAAUCUCUACAACAUGUUGGUAUCUUCGAAUUUCACAACUGCAGCUUAAAAGAGUUCAUAAAAGUGGAAAUCAGUGAAUCUGGGGUCACACGAAUAGUCAUCGGUGCACGUGGCUCUUCUGCAGCAGAACCAUGGACUUCUUCCUUUGUCAACAGGAAAAAAGGAAAUCAGUAAGUGCAUAGUUUUAUGGUACACUUGAGAAAGUUCCAGAAGGUGAAUACAAUGUAAUACACAUAACAUGUUGCCAACAUAUUUUUA